GAGAGCGUAGCUCAAGAGGUAAGAGUGCAUGCUUCGCAUGCAUGAGGUUCUGGGUUCAAUCCCCAGCACCUCCA
rnacentral:tRNA from 1 species